rnacentral:sRNA from 1 species
AAAAAAAACAUAAAAACUUGAAAUCAUAUACUUUAUAUGAUAAAUUUAAAAUCUAUAUUAGUAGUAGAAAUUUAAAAUCAUUCAAGAAACGGUAUAACACGGGUGAGAUCUUAAAAUU